CGGCGUAGCAGGAAAAAGAAACUCAGCUCAAGACAUUUCAUAAGAAAAGCUCCAAGUCCAUCUAUACUCACCUGGCCUGGAACCCUGGGAUUCAUUUGAUUGAGGAGGGUCACAAGCUGUACCCCAGAGGCUCGGGAGGCACCACUCGUUUCAAGAUGAGAUGAUGACAAAAAGACUGACUAGUGAGAAAAAGCAUGAAACUCCAUCUACAAACGUGCAAACCGACACAGAGCAAACCUGCAGGAAUUUCCACACCCGGUCUUCUGAUUUGCCUUGAAAAGGGGGAAAAAGAGAGAAAGGAAGCGUACCUUCGCCUCCACUAAGACAUCAACAUUAACUCUGUUUUCUUAAUUUCACACGAACAUCACUGCGUCUGGAGUCUAUGUUUUAUUUUUCCUGUUAGGCAAAAGCAAUUUUUCCCAAGUAAAAGUUCUGAAACGGAUUUCUUUUAGAAGCAGAGAUAACUGGGAAUUUUCUCAAAACUAGUACAAGUAUGAAUGUUUCUCCUUUUACUUUCCAUUUUUACAAAUGCAUUUAGGGCCAAAUGCACUGGCUAAUUUUGAUAGAAUGUAACAGAGACAGGAGAAGCAGUCCAUCUCAGUGAGUGAGUGGACAUUUAUUAGGCAUUCACUUUUCACAGGCCUGGGAUAUUAGGUAUUGCGGGGGUGUUGUAUUCAGGAAAUAGAAGUCAAAAUCCAAUUGAGUAGGGAAAUGAGCCAAACAGAAAUGGACACAAAGACACCAAAAACACCUACAAAAACACAGAUGAAUGUGCAGAAUCAGCUGGAGUUUCUAUGAGCUGAGCUGAAUCUGCUCACCUUGCAAAGAUUUCCCCGCACAGUGGGGACUGCCCACGCGUACGCAUUUCUUAGUUUCUGCUGGCCAACUCGAAUCGUUUUCAGCGGGGUCAUUUACAUCGUGUCCACUUUUUCUGGUUUCCAAACUCAACCCACUUUAUUAUCUUAAGAGUUUUCAUUCUCAGUAUCAUUUACAUACAACAAAAUGAAUAUAUCAUGUGUACAGUUUUAUGAAUAUUGACAAAGGCAUACAUCCCUUUAACUCACUCCCCUAUCAAGAUAUGCAGCAUUUCCAUCCUCCCAGAAAGAGCCCUUGGAGCCACUUUGUUUUUAAAUUAUUUGCAUCUGAAUAUUUUUGAGUGGAGAUUAUCAAAGCCAAAUGUGUGGGAAGAAAGCCUAAUCAUUAAUCAUCUACUACAAAUACAGGUAGUAAAGGUUUUGAAGAUGGUGCGUGAGCCUGCACAGACAAGUCUGCGGGAUUGGGUCCUGUUAUGAAAUGCCAAAGGGGCUUUUUAGCGACAGGCACGUGGGCCCCUCUCAGCCGCCCUGUCGGCACUCAGAUACGCAACUAAGACCGAGUGGGUUUCUUUUCUGGUUUUGUUCUUUAGGCAUCAGAGUUUACAUGUUUAGAAAGAGGGAAGUUGAGGCUGAAUAGUCACAUCCACCAUAUUCUCAUAGGGGCAAAUGUUCUCUGAUUAGGAGGGCUCAACCACAGUGCAGAGUCCCCUCUUCCAAAAUUCUGUUUCAACACCGAGAGGAGUUCACAUGACCAGGCAAAUUAGAGAUUUUCUUAGCAUUUCCUGUUUCCCAGAUUUCAGAGGAGCCCUUCAGGGAAUGUCUGGCCCAGGGUAGCACAUUCAGGAUGAGGGAAAAAUGGUUAUUUUUAGGUCCCUCCAACCAUCACAUUCCUCCCUGUCUCCACUUGGGCACUCUGUUGUUCUAGUGACCUGUCAAAGGGAUGGGGGCGGGGCUGCGAGAAAAAAGCCACAUCGCUUCCUUUGGGGUGGGGGUAAGGGUACCCCUGCUCCAGGGGUCCUAAACUGCUCACUAGCCCUUCUGCUGGAGAGGGACCAGAGGUGGAAGACCUGCCAGAGUGAGUGCCAGGCAGCUCUAGACUUCUGGGUAUUCAUUUCUCAUAAAAGGUUGCAGUAUUUCCUGGACACCUGAAUUCUAUGUCUUCACGGCAAAAACAAUUCAAAAUGUCCCAAAACAUUAUGCAGGAAGGAGUUUUUAAUUUUUUUUAAAUCACUUUUCCAAAAUGGUACCCUGAGGUGAUCCUGUCUUCAAUCUCCCAGCAAUGAAAACAAUGUGGUUGAAAAGUUGACAGCUUUCAACCCUUGAAAAGGUCACCUCCCUGCCUCACACCCUCUCGUAAGUAUUAAGAGCAUAACGGAUAUUUUGAGUCACAUGUAUUGUUCUUUGUUCAUUUGCAUUUGGUGAAAUCCCCCCCUUGGACCAAUUUAGUAAGCAGUGCCUUGGGCUUCCUUGGUGAUUGUUCUCUUGUCUUCUGUAUAUUUUUUCCUGUGAAAAAAAUUUAGACUCAGCCAGUGAAAUGAAGUUGCAGCCUCUGUCACUGAUGCUUUCUUUUUGCUCAGAUGAUCUUUCCAUCUCGCUUGGGACAGAAUUCCUUCUUCUUUGCAACGAAUGAAGACCUUCGAGGCUCAGCUGAGGCCCUUGUACUCCAAGACUUUCUGAAAGCUCCCUCGCCCCUCCCCAUCUGACCUUCUGUUGGACUGACAUACUUCUCCAUAUUUCAGCCUCAGAUGGCUUGGUGUUCACCACUAGACUGUGUUACUGAAAGUUAAUCAAGGGUCCUAGGGCCAUUUACAAAGUGGGACUGUAAGAGAAAGUCUAGCUAGAUGGAAAUGUAUCCUAAAUACCCCCAAGUCCCAGCACAGGGGUUCCCAUCAACAAAAAGCCUCACCUCCAAAUACAUUGCUGAGGACGCAGGGCCCCGUCUUCCCACCUGACGCACUACACACCACGUCAGCUGUCACAGGAGGUCUGAGUGCUUUAUGAAGCUGCCUGCUUUCUCUCUUACCUCCAUGUGUAAGCCAACCACUCUGGCUUUCAGAAACAUAUUUCUUUCUCUAUGAGUAAUUUAAAAGUGACUCAUCCUCAGCCUCACCAGCCGGUCCAUGUGACCUGCAGUGCUGGUUGAGUGUUAUCUAUAGAUGUGUAAACCAAAGCAGUUCUUAGAACACAGAUUCCCCCUCCCACGUGCUGUUGAUUUCCCUUUGCUACACAGGGAGGGAACGAUGUCAGACAUGAGCAGCCAGGGACUGCCCGCUCCGCACUCAAAUCUGGAAUGUGUCCAUUAGAGGAAACAAAGGCCAUCACCCAGUGACAGAAAAGAAGAGACAGGCAAAAGGCCUAAUAUAUUUAUUUUAGUAUUAGCAGACCAUCAAGAAGCUCUGAGAAAACUCCACAAAAAUUGAAGACGAUGAUGACCCAUAUAAACAAAAAACUGCUCAAAGUUCUUUUUCUGAGCCAGUAGAAAUUUAGACCUCAUGAAACAGAGAUGACACCCACACCCACCCCAACCAAAACCCCACCAACACGUCUUCAUUGCUCAAUCAGAAACACAUUCCUGGGAUCUGCUGUGGUUUGUCUUGGGAACUCACAUAUAUGAACAUGUUUUUAUUUCUUCAACUUGCCUUUAUUCCACCAUCACCAAAGAAUGGUGUCAGGCCCAGCUCGGGGACACUACUGGUGCAGGCAGGCACGCGGGUGACACAGCUGGCCAGCAUUCUAGAUCGUGUUUCUUACCUCUUUCUCACUUCCUAUUUUCUAUUAAACCAAAUCUGAACUCAUUUGCCUGCUUUGUGAAGACCUUCAUAAUCCAGCUACUGUCGCCUGAUUUUCUAGCACCAUCUAUGCUCUUGGCACAAUUAAUCCUUGGCUACCACUAGGGCAGCAUCCUCACUGCUCCUCCAAGGAAGACACCAGAGCCUUCAUUUCCAUGCCUUCACCCUCCCAAACCCCCAAACUCUGCCCUCCUUCCUUCUUUCCUUCCCUCCUUCCUUCCUUCUUUCCAUCCCUCCUUCCUUCCCUCCUUCCUUCCUUUAAAUUGAGAAACUUUUGCUCUGUCACUCAGGCUGGAGUGCAGUCGCAAUUAUAGCUCACUGCAGCCUUGAAUUCCCAGGAUCAAGUGAUCCUCUUGCCUCAACCUCCUGAGUAGCUGGGACUAUAGGCAUGUGCCACUAUGUCUGGCUAGUUUUUGUAGAGAUGGGGUCUGGCUAUGUUGCCAAGGUUGGUCUUGAACUCCUCGGUUCAAGUCAUUGGUCCACCUCGGCCUCCCAAAGUGCUGGGAUUACAGGUGUGAGUCACCAUGGCUGGCCACCCUUCCUUACCACUGUCUGUAUCUUUACCUUCUGGGAGCACUCUUACCUUCAUCACCCAAAUCUUAACCCAUUCUUCCAGCUCAGCUCAUCCCACCUGAAAAUCUCCUUACCUUCCUCACCUGACCAUUCAAGCUGUCACUAAUGUCUACAUCUCCUAAACUUCUCCAAUAGUUCAUCACAUCUGCUCUUCAGUUUUGUUUUGCUACCUAAUAUAUCACUUCUUAUAUUUUCCAAUAUUGUUUGAUUGCAAGUUCUUUUGGGAGGGGUAUCACAUAUUUCACUCCUAUUGGCCCCACAGUGCCUAGCCCUAUAACAGCAGAUGAAGCAACCUUUAGAUUGAAACAAAUAUUAUUUUAAUAUUGCCAAAAAGGUGUAAUAAGCAAGGUCUUACUAAACUUUUGGCCAGCUGUUAAAUUUGAUUGCAUGUUGCCUGAAAGAGAAACUUUACUUUUUAUCCUAGUAGGAAGUUAUGUGGAGAGGAAUAAUGUAUUGGAUAUUCAGUAAAAUGAAAAAAAACACACAACAAUAGUCAUUUAUAUAGCACUGUGUACAAGCACUGAUCUAAGCACUUAACAAAUAUCCAUUCAUCUUAAACUUCAUAGUGACUUUAAAAAGUAGGCACUAUUAUAUUCCCCACUUCACACAUGAGGAGAUCAAAGUAUUGGAGGGAAGUUGUCCAAAGUCACAUAGUGGCUAAGCUAGACUCAAACUCUGGCAAUCUGGCAAUCAGACUCUUCAGAGUCUGUGCUCUUAGUGGCUGUGCUAUAUUCCUGUUAAUAGGUGUGUGCUUUUAUAUGGCCUUUUUCAUUGAAGCAAAGAGGAGCUUAUCUUCUGUAUGGAUACCAUGUUACAGUUAUGUGUACUAAAUCCAUCAUGAGUCAAGUCCAGUGUAAAGAAAACUGAUGGUGAGAUGUCAUCUUCCAGGGAAGCUUCAGAAAGAAGUAUGGUGGUGGUAUGGGAGCUGAACAAAUAGAGUUUUCUUUGAAAUGAAUGGAGUAAAAUCUUCCAGUCCGCCCUCAGGACCCUGUGAUAUGGUACCACCCUUCCAUGCUCUGUAGAAAUAAGAGAUUUGAACCUCUGGGCAAUCUUUAGGUAGGCUUGCUCCAGAAAAAUAUUACUACAUACCCAAGAGAAUCUUCCCAAAUCCUACUUUCUCAACAUAAACUCAAUACAACUCAAAUCACAGCUGCCAUUAGAUUUGCUUACAAAUUUUAAAUAUGAUCUGGCAGCCCCAGACAUGGUAUGCCUGAGAACUCCAGAUUAGGUACAAGAAGAAAACCUCAUCCUGGUGGUCAAAUCACGGCAGGAAGUGAUGCCACUGACAAUUAUUCCUGUAUUAGCAGUUGCUUAAGUACCAUGAGGCUUUUAGGGGGAAAGACUGGGAGGCAGUGGUUGGAAAUGAAGCCCAUUAUUAAUGUAGUCAAGCUCUUCAGCUGGAUUCAAUAAAAUAAAAAGCCCUGCCCAGACCAGUGUCUGUAGUAGAAGAUGCUAAAGAGCUGUUUUUCAAAAAUCUGGCUUUAUUGAAUCCAGGCUUUAUACACAGCAUUCCUUCUUCCUGAAUGGCUGAAAAAUCAUUCCAUGCAUUUGAAACCACUGGAGGAGAAAUGAACUUAAGCCAUGGCAAGAAAGCACAGUUAGAUUUAAGGCGUGAACGUCAGCGUUCAAGGUAAUGGAAACCUUGGUAGCCCUGUAGAUAGAUUUUCAAGAGAGACUGUGAAAUCCUCAAGUCAAUUAAUAGAAGAAUAUUUUUCACAAUAGCAAAGACUUGGAACCAACCCAAAUGUCCAACAAUGAUAGAC
rnacentral:lncRNA from 10 species